rnacentral:rRNA from 1 species
CGGGGGAGCAAGCGUUGUUCGGAUUUACUGGGCGUAAAGGGCGCGUAGGCGGCCACCGCAAGUCGACUGUGAAAUCUCUGGGCUUAACCCAGAACGGUCAGCCGAUACUGCGGGGCUAGAGUGCAGAAGGGGCAACUGGAAUUCUCGGUGUAGCGGUGAAAUGCGUAGAUAUCGAGAGGAACACCUGCGGCGAAGGCGGGUUGCUGGGCUGACACUGACGCUGAGGCGCGAAAGCUAGGGGAGCGAACGGGAUUAGAUACCCCGGUAGUCCUAGCCUUAAACGAUGAAUGCUUGGUGUCUGGGGUUUUAUAGUCCCCGGGUGCCGUCGCUAACGCUUUAAGCAUUCCGCCUGGGGAGUACGGUCGCAAGACUG